rnacentral:rRNA from 1 species
GACAGAGGUGCCAAGCGUUAGGCGGAAUCACUGGGCUUAAAGCGUGUGUAGGCGGAUGCCUAAGUACCUUGUGAAAUCCCACGGCUCAACCGUGGAACUGCUUGGUAUACUGGGUGUCUUGAGCCAUCUAGGGGGCUACCGGAACAAAUGGUGGAGCGGUGAAAUGCGUAGAUAUCAUUUGGAACGCCAAUGGUGAAAACAGGUAGCUGGGGAUGUGCUGACGCUGAGACACGAAAGCCAGGGGAGCAAACGGG